rnacentral:rRNA from 1 species
ACAGCAGCCGCCGCGGGAAUACGAAGGGGGCUAGCGUUGUUCGGAUUUACUGGGCGUAAAGCGCACGUAGGCGGACUUUUAAGUCAGGGGUGAAAUCCCGGGGCUCAACCCCGGAACUGCCUUUGAUACUGGAAGUCUUGAGUAUGGUAGAGGUGAGUGGAAUUCCGAGUGUAGAGGUGAAAUUCGUAGAUAUUCGGAGGAACACCAGUGGCGAAGGCGGCUCACUGGACCAUUACUGACUCUGAGGUGCGAAAGCGUGGGGAGCAAACAGGAUUAGAGACCCCCGUAGUCCCUGUCUCUUAUAC